GACAGUGUGGCCGAGUGGUCUAAGGCGUCAGACUUGAAAUCUGAUGUGGUCUCCACGCGCAGGUUCAAAUCCUGCCACUGUCG
rfam:Cryptosporidium parvum Iowa II chromosome 6, whole genome shotgun sequence.